CCUACGGGAGGCUGCAGACGAGAAUAUUCCGCAAUGGGCGAAAGCCUGACGGAGCGACGCCGCGUGAUGGAUGAAGUGCUUUGGUACGUAAACAUCUUUUAUCGGAGACGAAGUUUAUUGACGGUACCCGAUGAAUAAGGGGCUCCUAACUCUGUGCCAGCAGGAGCGGUAAUACAGAGGCCCCAAGCAUUACCCGGAAUCACUGGGCGUAAAGGGUGUCUAGGCGGCCAUAUUAGUCGUUCGUUAAAUCCGCGGGCUCAACCUGCGGGCUGCGAGCGAAACGGUAUGGCUCGAGGGCGCGAGAGGUGCACGGAACUCAUGGUGGAGGGGUGAAAUCCGUUGAUAUCAUGGGGAACACCAAAGGCGAAGGCAGUGCACUGGUGCGUUCCUGACGCUCAAACACGAAAGCCAGGGUAGCGAACGGGAUUAGAUACCCCUGUAGUC
rnacentral:rRNA from 1 species